AAAGAGUGCAACAGGAAAUACCAAACUGGGGAGAAAUGACUUCACAGUAGAGGCUUCCUCUGUGUCUGUGACCACAGUGUCAGUCAGAAUAUAGAGUUCUGGAUGGGACCAACAUCAUUGUCAUGGAAACCCCAGGAGUAAUCAGUGAAAUGCCUGGAUCUCUCUCAUCCUCGUGUUCUACUGCUGGGGAGGUUCACUGACGAGGAGAAGGAACACUGUGAAGUCAAUCCAGGAGAGUUUUGGAUCACAAAGUUCACCAGAGUGCUAUUAAAGACCUGUUGAAGGGUAAACCUAUAAUGGCCUGUCUGAAGAGCAGUCCAAACCUUCAGGUGCUCAAUGCUAACUGGUGGUGGAUCCAAUGUCUUCAACAUUGAAGUCGAAGGCAACAUUGGAGAAGUUAAAUGACUGCUUGACAAUAUUGAUACAGUAUCAUACCAGAACUGGGGAUACCACUUCAUGGAAGAGGCAGAAAGAUCAGAGCUGAAGAGCAACGGAGGAGAGAAGAGGCAGAGAGAGGUGAAGGUGAAGAGCAAAGAAAGACAAUAUUUUACAACAUACACUUUCUGCUUUACAGGGUGCAAAACUAAUUCGGACAUAAAAGAUCUAGAACAACUAGCUACAUUAAGUUGUCUCUUCAAACAGUAGCUACGUGUAUUACUAUGUGGUUAUGGUUUUAGGUGCAGAUAAUUCAUUUGCAGACAGUAUAUGCACAGAUGAAAAGAGAAAAUCCAUAAGAAUGGGGUCUAUAAGAAUAUCUCUAAUAGAGAAUGUUGUAGUAUGGAAAUGGGAGGAAAUGUCUUCAUCCGCUCCGCUAGGUGGCAGCACUGAGAAUGUGGAGGUCUUGGAACAAAAUCAACAACAGUAGUCACUACUUCCUUUGCGCUGUGGAUACAUGUAUUAUUUCUGUGGAAUGAAAUGUACAGGCUUCUCAGUAAACCGACUCGUACCAGCCAUGGCCACUGCAGAUUGCUGCCUCCGUCCCUGCAGG
ensembl:lncRNA